ensembl:lncRNA
CAUAUGUGAGCUGAGAAAUGGGCUUAUUCUCCCUGAUAAUCCAUCUGGAAAUAAUAUAAAGACAUUUAUUUGAGUCAUACUUUCAAUUCCUUUGAUCACUUUUCACAGGCAUGGUGAUGUAGUAUAUUAAGCGAUCCCUGCUUUCUUGCUCUCACCAUAUAGAUUAAUUUGGUAGUAGAAACAGAGGGUUGCUAUGGAAUUAUGAAGAUGCUAAUGCUUGCAAAGUUCUUCCUGCUGUCCCACAAACAGGCCUGAGCCCCAGCAGCAGGCCCUGAGGGAGGCAGUGUCCUUGUGGAGUGCCCAAACUCACCCGGGUGAUGCUGGCUGCUGGUUCUCCCAUUCUCCAUUUCUAAUCAGUUCCUCGCCUGCUGCGGCUUGGGGCCCAGCCUUUCAAUUAUUCAAGAAUCGGAAAGUAUUUGUUGCCUGAUGCAGGAUUUGCUUUUAUUCAACAGAACAAAACCCUGCAAAGCUGGAGAAACAUGGAGCUUCUCAGGUGGCGCUAGUGGUGAAGAACCCUCCUCCAAUGCAAGAAACAUGAGCUGUGGAUUCAAUCCCUGUGUCAGGAAGAUCCCUGGAGGAGAGCAUGGCAACCCACUCUAGUAUCCUUAGGGCCUGGAGAAUCCCAUGGACAAAGAAGCCUGGCGGGCUACAGUCCAUAGGAUUGCAAAGAGUGAGACACGACUGUAGUGACUUAGCAUACAGGACACGGUAAUAUAUGAUGCCUGGAGGUGGGUGUUUGGGGAAUUUUGAUCUAAUGCAUCACAGGUAUUCAUUCAGUGAUAACUAGCAAAAUGUUAGGCUUCCUCCUACCUUUCUAAUUAUAAGCAAUUAGGCCAACAGAAAUAAAAAUGAUGGCUUUCUCUCUCCCCUUGGAAAAAACUAAAUUAACAAUUAUCCGAUAAUUCAGAGAAAAUGACUAAAUUAAAAAAAAAAUUUAUACUUUGGUUUGCAUUUUCAUUUGAUAGUAUGUUAU